rnacentral:lncRNA from 1 species
CCAGUUGGUCAUGUUCAUCUCAACACCUAUUCAUCUUUGCACUACGAGCCAAAGAUAUUCAUUACGUAAUCAUUCAUCUUUGCACUACAUGCCAAAGAUAUUCAUUUGUAUCAUCAUUUAGGACUGAGGAUGAUGAAAAAUAUUUUAAAAAAAACGAAUCCAGUGAGAUUAAAGAUCAUAUACUAAGGAUUCGUAUUACAGUUUAUCCAAGUUCAAUAAUAUUUUGAAAUAACCAAUUUUGAAGCAGAAUUCAAAAAUAAUGAUCAAAACAUGGAUACACUCAAAGAUAGUAAUCAUAAUAGACAACUUGGACAAAAAGAAGAAAAUUUCAUUUUUUAGUGAAUAGUGUCGUAUUCGUGAAUAGUGCCGUAUACGUGAAUAGUAAACCCGACACAAAAAGUUCCAAAUUUGAUAAAAAGUUCAUACCAAUAUUUUCGGCAUAAUGAUAUUGAAGAAAAAUAUCAUUUAAGAAGAAGAUAAUAUCCCUUACCUCAAAAUAUCAGUACUUCUGAUCGAAAUAUCGGUAUAAGGCUGAAGGAAACUUGCACUGAUGAAUAGAAACUCACAAAGUAUCUAAAUACUCACAAAAUACACUAAAUAAUCUAGAGAGAGAAAGAGAGAAAACUUAUUUUUGGUGUGAUUUUCAAUUCUAACUUAGCCCUCUAUUUAUAGGAAAAUGUUAGCACGCCGAAGCAGACUUGACCUGCUGCCUGAUGGCUUUACCUGCUACUAUUCCACCCACCAAAAAUCAGCCAUUUUCCCAAACAACCAAAAGUGGAGCCCACCAAUUCUAGAAUUUUCCACUAAAAUCAUUUAUAACCUAAUUUCUGAAUCAGUCACCUCUUAAAAUUCAUAACAAAUCAUACGUUCAUUUUUAACGGUUCAAAAUUUAUGGACAUGUACUCAACUUAUAUAUGUAUAACAUAUCCAAAAAUUACAAUGAUCCAACGAUCGGUUUAAAAAUUAUAACUCACGCAAUAUAUCUCAAAAACACUGGUUUAAUUUUUAAUACCUCCAUUCCGACAAAAAUACUGAUAAAACACCUCAACAUUAACUCCUUCAUUUUUAACCACAAUAAAUAUAUCCAACAUUUAUAUCCACAAAAAUAAAUAUUUCCUUAUCAUAUGAAUCAAUGAUUAAUUAUUCACAAAUAAUAUUAUAGAAUCACAUUUAUGACAACCAGGCUGUUCCCAGGAAAGAGGAGGCUUUCCAAUAAGGAUUUCUCCUUACUGGCGCGCAAUUAGGUGACCAAAGCUCUCCUUGACAGAACUUUCUAGACAUUUCCAAUAAUGUUAUCUAAUAAUAUUAUUCCAAAUUAUCUAAAUUACUGAUCUGAUAAAGGAGAUACUGUGUAGUGACGAUAAUUGAAACAACAAUAAUAUAAAAUAUCAAUGCAACAAUUAUUGAAUCAAUAAAAUAAAAUAUUGAACAGUAACUACUGUGACAAUUAUUGAGUAGUGCCUUCUUACGUAAGGAUCAAUAAUUCAACAAUACUGUGCAAUACCAUAUGCUACUGUGCAACAACGCGUAUUACUUUACUUUAACCACCGGGUAUUCCAACAGUGUUAACGGUAACAACUAUGCCGUUAUUCAAUUUUGUCGUUUUCUUUAUUCGACCGUUAUCCGUUAUGGGGCCCACAAUUGGCUACGCCAUCAUACGAAUAUUCCCCGACAGAAAGAAUAUUCCACCGACAAAAUGAAUAUUUUAUAACCACUUGAUUAUUUUGCAACAUUUUCACAUUUCACCCAUAACCAAAGUUAUUAUAUCAAAUUAAUACCUUAUUAUUCAAAAUAAUAAAUAAAGGAAAUUUGAUUUUAUUUAUUAAAAAGUUGGGGUCUUACACUAGCAGCCUGGCUUCUCUGCGUUCCUACAACUUAGGUCAUCCCACCGCGGAUUGAACCUCUCGCAUUUGCAGUUUGGCUACCCAUACAUGGGAUCAAACUUCUCAUACCUGUAGUUUAUCCUCAACCUAGGAUUAAAAUUUCUUCUCCCCGCACUCUGACCUGCACAUGGGAUUACACUUUUCCACUCGCCCUGAGGGGCGAACUAUGUCGACCUGAUCUCCUCUUCAAUAGGAGUACGUAUGCAACCAUUUCAUAUGGCCCGGUUGCAAUAAAACAGAAACAACAAAAACAUUUACACCCUUUUCCUUAUAAAAAAAAACAAAAACAAAAACAAAACAAAAAAAACAUUCCUACACCAUUUUUGACAUAUACAGCGUUGAACCUCUUACACCAGGUUCAAACUACGCAGACUUGAUCUCCUCUUCAAUAGGAGUACGUAGGCAGCCAUUCAUAAUUCGGUCUCACCCCCUACCAAAACACAAACCCUUGUUAAUUGGUAUUGGGAUCAUCUUUCAAUCCACUACAUUUCAUUGGCUUCAGACCAAAGGGAUGGAAUUACCUGAACUCCUCCCAAAUAGGAGAUUCGGCGACCAUCUAAGCUGCGGUCAUAUCUUGAAGAGCAACACCAAUCCAUAAGAGAUGGAAUUAACUAGGCUUCUCCUAAAUAGAAUUACUGGCAACCAUCUGUGGUGCGGUCAAUCUCAGAGAGGAAAGCCACACUCCUCUCCACAUUUUCAUUCAGAAACCAGUCCCAAGACACCAAAGAUGGUAGGGAUACAUAAAGAUCGAUGAUCCAUUCUAAAAUAUCCAGAGACAACUCAAUGUCCAUCGACCCAGGAGGAAUUCAGAAUACAUCAGGAUCACAAGCCCCGAAGCAGCAGGCAAAAUAUCAAGCAUGUAGCAAAGCAUAUCUAAAAGGGAAGUGGUCAAAAAUAUAUUUCCCUGCUAUAUAUAUAAUGUUGUUUGAUAUAUACAAUGUAAACUGUACAUGACAAAAUGGCUAAGCUAGUCUGUGCAGGAAAAUACAAGCCCAUCUACAAGUCAGGGUAUAUGCGAGCUAACAAGCCCAACAUGGCGUCCCUCUAAAAAGAAGGAGGUGAAGCUGUGGUCUCCUGUACGAGAAUAUCCAAAAGGCCCUAACAGAUCUGCAGCCAUCUGCAUGGUGACCAUAUGCUCAUCAAUGUAAGCGCUCAUCUUUGCGAUCAUGUCAGUAGUAAGGGACCUCACUGGAGUAUAAUCUGUGACGGCUAUAUCCCGGGCAGAUAUGGCACUAUCCCGCUCGACUAUCACUGCAUCUCUGGCUGAUCUAGCCUCAUCCCGCUCAACAACAGCAUCAUCUCUGGAGCUAAUGUAUCAUCUCUCUCUAAUAGAGUUGCGUCUCUCCCAUUAAGGGCAGUCAGCAUCAUAAAUCGAGCUUGAACUCUCUCAAAGGUCAUCAGAUGAAGACUCUACUCAAAGUACUGUGCUGAAUGCUGAAUCAUAACAGUACUAGUACUGGGAGAAUCUAAAAGAGAUGUUGGCAACCCAGCACCUGGCUCCUCCUCGAUGUGGGAAUAAAUGUCCUCCAUGGGCUCUACAUCAUCUGACUCAUUAUCCGGUACUGUGGAUACUGCCGCAGUCGAUGCAAUCUCCGUCCCCAUCCAUGCAGAAUACUCUACUGAACAACCUGGAUGGCUCACAGAAAAAUCAGCUAUCUCACGCUGAUCCCACCAUACAUACACACGGGAUCGGUCCUCUGCUGAAAGAUAGUGAGAAGUUGAACGCUGACCUAUCGCCCCCUCGAAAGGAUGAAAAUCCUAAAACUGGUCAAGCUACAACAUCACGGCCAGCGGGUGAUAAGUAGUUACGCCCCUAAAACCAGCCAAAGGAAGGUAGUCCAUGCCUGGAGCAUGAGUAAUGAAGCUUUAGGGUGAGCUGAGCCCCGAACACGGCAAUAUGACAAAUGGAUCUCUGAUAUCCGCCAAAAAUAUGGACUAAGACAUAGCAUGUGUACACUCCGAUGGUUGAAAGGAGUAUGACAUGACUAUAUCAUGGGUGAACCAAUACCCAUGUCGUCUAAGAGUGCCAAUCGGUCUCAAAUGUGAUAUAAACCACACAUAUAGCAUGACCGAACUACCCGUGAACACUCAUGUCGGAUAAGUGCAGCAGUAGGUGGCUGACCGCAGGGUCUCUGCUAUGAUCAUCGGUAUAAUGGUAUGACCCUCCCUAAGAGCUAUCACUGCCAUGAUGACUCUGACGUCUAUCUCAUCCAUGUAUCGUGGCAUAUAGACAUACGACAGUACGCACAACAGCAGUAUGUCAACCCUGGCUAGACGCCAAUGAUCCUCCGUUGCGGUGAAAUCCCCGGAAUGUCGUGAAUAACUAUCCUCAGAGCCAAAUCUGUCAAACAGAAAAUGCUGGGAUAUAAUGUGGCUCGAUGUAAGUUCAUCCUGCACUACUCUGUGCCUCAAUCCAGUGAGGGUCAUGAACCGUCGACUCAUGUCCCCCAAAGCCAUAUGUACGCAAGGUCUGUCCAGCGGUAGCAUUGUCAACCGUGCAUACUCCUCUAGAGUAGGAGUCAACUCCUGGGUCCCAAAUCGAAAAACCUGCCUAUCCGUUACCCAAUGCUCUAGCAUGCCAUCCACAAACCCUGUGGGAACCUGAAACAUCAAUAAGGUCAUGGUAUGCUGCAAAAAAUGAUCUACGAUCACCCUGUCUGAUGGUGACAUGAUAUCAUACCACGAUCGCAUACCCGAUGCCACCAAUGAUGGUGGGGUAUGAUCAAUACGGCUAACUGUCGAAGAAGACAUCUGUACGGGCCAUAUCAUAAGACCAUCCAGGUGUCAAUGCUGAAUAUCUCUGGACAUACAUACAUAUGCAUAACAUGAUACAUGUAUUGCAGAUAAUAGAUGGCAAUAUGAUAUAGGGAAUGAAAAAAUUAUGCAUGCAUUCCUAAGUAUAUCAACAUCUAAUACAUCAUCUUUGUACAUCUACAAAUACAGGGAAAUGGGGCAUAGACGCCCUACUACAAAAUAGAGGCCUAUCAAAAGAGAUAGCAAGAAUGGGUCCCACCCCUCUGGCUCGGUCCAGUUCGAGUUGCAAAGGAGUUCUUGCAGACUGAAAAAGUCAAAUCGGGAAUAAAAAUGCUACGCGAUUGAGCAAAACAGCAUACAAUCCUGGUCUUCUCAGAUGGAACUUUGACUCUGUACAUCCCUCAUUGGUAGUCACCUGAACACGAGGUAUACCUUGCCAAUGAUCUCAGUUGUUACAAAUCACAUCUGUCAAUACCUUGUACAGGUCCAAUGCCGCCAACUCCGGGUCAUUACCCUAAAAGAUCAACGUGGAUCCCCGACGGGGGUUACAAUGUAGAUCCCCGACGGGGGUUACAAUGUAGAUCCCCGACGAGUGUUACAACGUAGAUCUCUGAUGGGGGUUACAACGUAGAUCCCCGACGGGGGUUACAACGUAGAUCCCCGACGGGGGUUACAACGUGAAGCCCCAGCAGGGGAUUAAAAUGCACAUUUUAGCCGUUGACACACAUAUCAACAAAGGUCAAGCAGCCUUAACGUUAUCUCAGCCAAUGGCGAUUAAACCUAUUAGAGCUAUAAAGCUAUUCAAGGAUUUCAUGCUCGAUUACUCAUAUUCCCCAGCGGAUCCACGACGGGGGUCACAACGCAAUGUUCCGGUGAUUCACACAUCAGCGAAGGUUAAGCAACCUUGACAAUCUACCCACAGAGUAUCAGCCAUUGAUUCACACGUUAGCGAAGGUUAAGCAACCUUGACAGUCUAUCCCACAAGGUUUUCAUCCGUUGAUUCAUAUGUCGGUGAAUUACACGUCAACGAAGGUCAGGCAUCCCUGACAGCAUUUGCUGUUGGCAGUAAAUCCGACAGAAUCUUGACAUGUCCUGGCGAUACCAACCAAGAAAGGUCAAUGUUAUCAAGGAGGAUCGAUGAUGGAAUAUAUUAUACACAUCCUCAAACAGACCAAGCUUUAUCCCCACAUAUCUUUUACACAUAAGAGGUACAUCUUCAGGAUCAAGUCAUUACCAAGAACCCAAGAAUUUGGUGAUAACCCCAACAUCAACAUCCUAACAGAUUCAGAUUACACAUCAAAUCUGGUCAUCAUAUCCAAUCCCCAGUUGAAGCAACAGGGAGCCAGCAAUCAUCCCCAGCAUGUUGGGCUACAACCCCAUACACAUGCAUCAUACAUUUGCAUCAUUUUGCUACAUAUAGUACCAUGUUUGUCUUGUUGCAUUUCAAGUGUCUAGGAUUCUUUAUCCUACCCAUGCAUUGCCUUGCAUAAGUAUGAUAAAGAGGGGCAUCUAUAGACACUCGAAAUUUUCUGUACACCUGUCACUAACAUUGCAGGAGGACAGAUUCGUCUUUCAAGAGGAAACCCUGGAAGACAGUUCAUAACCAUUCCAGAUACUAUCGGAAGUUCAUCAUCAACCCCGGAACACACACCAGGAGUAACAAUUCCAACCUCGGAUAUAACCCUGAGGCAUACAGAUCCAAUUCCGGAACACACACCGAAUAAGACCGAUUAAUCUCAGAGAUAACCCCGAGGUAUCCAGUCUCAGUCCCAAUCAUGGGAAUAGCUACCAACCUUGGUGAUCACGCCAAGGAAUGCAGUUUAGGCGAUAACCCCAGAAAUGCUUGUUUUAAAUGAAACCAGCUUCAAUCUCGGCACUCACAACGAGAUACUCAAUACCAACCCAAAGAUAACACCAGGAGGACAGGCACACCUCAGAGAUGACAUUGAGGACCUUCAACAAAUUGCAGUAGUCCAAUCUCAGCGAAGCCCUGAGCAAUGUCUACUUUAUCAGCCCAAACCGGCGAUAACACCGGUGAAGGACAACAUCGUCAUCUCACCAACACAAGGCCACGUCACGUCGUCUCAAAAUUUCAUACACAUCUCUACACAAUGAUGUCCCACAAGAAUCAAGGAAAACUAAUCCCGAGUGACUAUUGUGCGGGGUAACGGAUGGAAUUUGAAGCUUGAAGACCGGAGGGCAUCGUCCCAUCUUCAAUGACUUCGUACAAACUCUAAUCCCAUGCCAUUGUACAACUCUUGACAACGGCGGUCCAAAAUAGGUCCUAUAUACCUCAAUCAGAUGCCCGGAUUUCAAUUCUGAAAGUUCGAGCAGACAUUACAGUGUCCGAGUACAUAUACUACGAGACGACCCGACCCGAGAAACCCGGGGCAACCCGGGUAGCCUCUGAUACACCUGCGGCCCAGCCACAGGUACAUCUGUGGCUCCACCCUCUAUAAAUAGAGGGCUUGGGGUGGCCAUUUUGAAAGAGAAAACGGGGAGGAAGCCCUGCCCAAUUUUCUCUGUACUUACCCCAUACGGAGUACUUUCUCAUUUUAAACACAUGUGAGCUCAUAUAUAGCUACUUUUGUACCUACAAAAGUCAGUGUUUACCCAAUUUAAAGAUAUAUGAGUCUUCUUUGGAAGUCCACUGUAAGCCUUCUCACACACUUUUAAGCCUUUCUCUUCAUCUUUGCACACACCCUUCUUCACGUUGAGAGUCGUGCUGCAUGCAUUUGCCCAGACUUCGGUCCGUGAUUUUAUUUCAGUUUGUAUAUAUAUAUAUAUAUAUAUAUAUAUUAUAUAUAUAUAUAUAUAUAUAUAUAAAUAUGGACUAACAUUAUCGAGUUAUGCCUCGAUUGAGCCUAGACUUCGGUCUGGAGCAUUUAUUUGCUUAUAUAUAUAUAUGAACUGUGUGUCGAACUUUGUUCGAUGAGCCUAUACUUCGGUCUGGAGCGUUUACUACAUUAAUAUAUAUAUUUAUAUAUAUUAACUGUGUGUCGGACAAUGUUCGAUGAGCCUGGAUUUUACAUCUGGAGCGUUUACUUGAUUUUAUAUAUAUAAACUGCGCGUCGGACUCUUUUCGAUGAGCCUGUAUUUUACAUCCGGUGCGUUUAUUCGCUUUUAUAUAUAUUUAUACUUAUAUAUAUGAACUGUUGUCGAACUCGGUUCGAUGAUCCUGGAUUUUACAUCUGGUGCGUUUAUUCGCUUAUAUAUAUAUAUAUAUAUAUAUAUAUAUAUAUAUAUACUUAUAUAUAUGAACUGUUGUUGAACUCUGUUUGAUGAGCCUGGAUUUUACAUCUGCUGGGUUUAUCGCUUAUAUAUAUAUACAUAUAUAUAUUUUCGUCCCUCCUGGAGGUCAAUUCGUAGUGGUUGAUCGCUUUUACAACUUUCUUUACGUUUCGUCCUGCCUAGAGUUCACUUCGUGGCAGUUGAUUGCUUUGUACAACUUUAUUUACAUUUUGUCCCGCCUGGAGUUUCCUCCGUGGUGGUUGAUAGCUUUACAACUUUAUUUACGUUUCGUCCCGCCUGGAGUUUUCUCUAUGGCGGUUGAUAGCUUUUACAGCUUUAUUUACAUUUCUGAUCCCCCAUAGAGGUGCUUCGUGGUUGGUGAUCAUGUCUGUAUAUAUAUAUAUUUACAACUUUUAUAUAUAUACAUGCUUACUGCUUUCAUACAAAUUGCGGUAUCAUGUGCGCCUAGGAAUCAUGUGAUCACAGAUUCAGCCUAUUGGAUCUAGAUUCGGUUCCCUUGAUGGACAUUUUCAGCUGUAAGCAGCUUGUAAAUUAUUUUGCGAUGUCUGAAUUUCCUCAGAUGGUUUCCAUACCCACGAGGAAGUCGGCAUUAUUAUGUACAUUAUUUUCGUACGGAUGCCUCAGAUCUGUAAAAUAAAAUCAAUCAAGCCGAACACUUAAUAAAAUGGGAGUGUAAAAGGUCUCAAUUAAUAUUGAGCAUCAGGGUUUGAAAAAACCUUUUUUAUAAAACCACACUGCUAUAUCUUGUUAAAACUGAAUUUUUACAUAAAUUCAAACCCUAUGUAUAUUGGUGCGAAUGAGGCCUCACACUACUUCCAAAUAACAACACAUUAACCCACACACACACACAUUCAGAUAAUAGUUUCUUGAAAAAAGGCGGUCACCGUGGUAACAAGAAUGUCGGGGGGUGCCUAACACCUUCCCUCCGCAUAACCAAGUCCCGAGACCCUAAUGAAUCUCGGUUUCACCGACCCGUUUAGCAGUGUCACAUCACUGGGUCAAUGUGCAAACCUUUUCUCGGUUGUGUUGGUACAACCAUUUAAAAAACCAACUGGCGACUCUUUAUAGUCCAUCGUCGACAUUAUACAUGUCGGACCUUUUUCACUUGUUUUUUCAAACAAAUCUCACCUAAAAUGUGACGCCCCCAAAAUAGGUAUACAUCACCCAUUCUGAGUCGCCAAAUACAUGGUACAUAAAAACAAAUACAACUUCAUUAAACUGUGAGUUUAAAUAUAAAUAGAGAGUAUAAAAACUCAGAAGGAGUCCUCAUUACAAUUAUUGAUACACUAUUUUAAAAAUAGUGAGGACUGCUAAAACAACUUUCUAGAACCAUCACUCCGAACCCCGACUAGUUCAUGCUAUGUUCUCACCUCUUGAGAAGAAAAAUAGAACAAAAGGGUGAGCUCAACUAGCCCAGUAAAGAAUAUUAUUACUAAGAUAAUAUACAACAAAUUAUCAUUAGUCCAGGGAAUAAUCUAAUAAAAUAUAAUAGACAACAAGUUUUAGAUCAACAACUGCAGCGGAAAAUAACAAUCCAUUAGGAGAGUCAAGUAGAGAAAUAAUUCUACUAUCUUCUAAGAUUUAAAAGUCCAUCAUCAAUAUUUUAUCCCUGUAACAUCAAUCAAUAUACAUCUUGAAUCAAAUAUUAAACUUUGCACUACAGGCCAAAGAUAUUCAUUUGUAUCACCAGUUGGUCAUGUUCAUCUGAACACCUGUUCAUCUUUGCACUACGGGCCAAAGAUAUUCAUUAGGUACUCAUUCAUCUUUGUACUACAGGCCAAAGAUAUUCAUUUGUAUCAUCAUUUAGGACUGAGGAUGAUGAAAAAUAUUUUAAAGAAAACGAAUCCAGUGAGAUAACAGAUCAAAUAUCAAGGAUUUGUAUUACAGUUUAUCCAAGUUCAAUAAUAUUC